rnacentral:rRNA from 1 species
AUUGAACGCUGGCGGCAGGCCUAACACAUGCAAGUCGAGCGGAUGAAGGGAGCUUGCUCCUGGAUUCAGCGGCGGACGGGUGAGUAAUGCCUAGGAAUCUGCCUGGUAGUGGGGGAUAACGUCCGGAAACGGGCGCUAAUACCGCAUACGUCCUGAGGGAGAAAGUGGGGGAUCUUCGGACCUCACGCUAUCAGAUGAGCCUAGGUCGGAUUAGCUAGUUGGUGGGGUAAAGGCCUACCAAGGCGAAGAUCCGUAACUGGUCUGAGAGGAUGAUCAGUCACAUUGUAACUGAGACACCGUCCCGACAACUAAGGGCGGCAGGCGUGGGGAAUAUUGGACGCUGGGAGAAAGACUGCUAAAGCCAUGCCGCGUGUGUGAAGAAGGUCUUCGGAUUGUUAAGCACUUUACGUUGGGAGGAAGGGCAGUAAGUUAAUACCUUGAUGUUUUGACGUUACCAACAGAAUAAGCACCGGCUAACUUCGUG